UGGAAAAGCAGAUGUGUUUGAUGGCACUGACUAUUCCUUGAGGAGCCAUGAGAUAAGAGGUUGACAAAGUUGAAUCAGUGAGCAUCAUGGCUGCAUUACUGCCGUAAUGGAUUAUUCUGUUCUUCUACAAAUAAUUAACCUGUGGUCAAACCAUC